GCAUCCCUUACAAGCAUACACAGCUGCUUGCCCUUUUGCCUUGUGUCCAUCCUGGAGCAGCCUUCUGCAAGAUUCUAUGUUACCUGUCCUCGGUCCACUUGGAAUCUCUUGAGAGAGCCGAGUCCUGUGUGUUCCUAGGCCCUGCCACAGGGACCUGGACGCCCUGCCUGUUGAGGCAAGGUUGUGGAUGUCCCGGGCCUUAUGGUCCCUGCUUCGCAUGAUGUGGGGCAGAAUCCAUCUGAACGCUCAUCACUACCAAGGCCAAGGUUUUGGAAGGAAGUCCUUCUUCUCCCAUCUUAGUAUUAGACCAUCGGAUUUGGGACACACGACUAAGGGCGCUGAC